rnacentral:lncRNA from 1 species
CCUUGACCACAUUUGAAGGGCCAUAGGUCAGUGAUCUCAAUUCGAAAGAUCCCAGGUCAUUCACUUGUAUUGUUGAGGAGUAAUACUAAUUUCAAAUAAAUAAGGGAGAUAAAUCAUAUAAAGGAUGACCAAAAUACUUCAACUGAAAUUGGUUUAAGUUGCUCCAUAUCAUAAACAACUAGUUGGCAAACACAUCAUAACAUUAACUGUUUAUGGUUUCUUUCAAAUAAAGAUAACAAACAAACUUCUAAAUUAAACACAUG